rnacentral:rRNA from 1 species
CGGACGGGUGGAGUAACAACGUGGAGUAACCUACCUAUAAGACUGGGAUAACUUCGGGAAACCGGAGCUAAUACCGGAUAAUAUAUUGAACCGCAUGGUUCAAUAGUGAAAGACGGUUUUGCUGUCACUUAUAGAUGGAUCCGCGUCGCAUUAGCUAGUUGGUAAGGUAACGGCUUACCAAGGCAACGAUGCGUAGCCGACCUGAGAGGGUGAUCGGCCACACUGGAACUGAGACACGGUCCAGACUCCUACGGGAGGCAGCAGUG